GCGGGAGUCGAGAGGACGAGGCACAGGAUGAUGAUUUGGCUGCACAGAGCCGGGACGAGGAGGCAAGAUGCGCCGCAGGUCAGCAGAGUCUUAUGCCAUCAGUGUUCCAGAUCUCAGCGAAGCAGACGAUGACACCACAUUGUCAUUUUCAUUCACAGGAGUAGAUUUUGGUCACAGAUGAUGGGGCAGAAGAAAACUUUUUACAAGCAGACUGAAAAGAGUGAAGCUGCAAGAAGAUGAGGUAGCACAUGAGGCUGAAAUCUGUUGUGUGAGGGCUCUCUCUGUUGCCGUCUGUUCACCAUCACCCAGCAGAUUAAGAGAUGAUUCCAAGUAUCCCAAAUCCAAGCCCACAAGCAUUUGGCAGAUGGUUCUGUGAUGAGUAACAAGCAUUUUGGAAAGGAAAUCCAUCUCCAUUUCUGAUCAGCAUUUUGGAGGUCAUGUCUUGUGAAGCAGAUAAUAAACUUCAUAUAAUAUGUUUUUGACAAUGUUCUUGACAAAACUAUACAAUUAAACCAUUAUA